rnacentral:rRNA from 1 species
UACGGAGGGUGCAAGCGUUAAUCGGAAUCACUGGGCGUAAAGCGCGCGUAGGCGGCCUUUUAAGUCGGACGUGAAAGCCCUCGGCUCAACCGGGGAAUUGCGUUCGAUACUGGGAGGCUUGAGUCCUGGAGAGGGUGGCGGAAUUCCGGGUGUAGGAGUGAAAUCCGUAGAUAUCCGGAGGAACACCGGUGGCGAAGGCGGCCACCUGGACAGGUACUGACGCUGAGGCGCGAAAGCGUGGGGAGCAAACAGG